UAGGAGUGCCAGAGGCUUAUAAUGGGAAAGAUUUAGGAUCUUUUUAUGAUGUGUUGACCAUCCUUCUGC
rnacentral:tRNA from 1 species